AGAGUUUGAUUCUGGCUCAGGAUGAACGCUAGCUACAGGCUUAACACAUGCAAGUCGAGGGGCAUCAUGACGAUAGCUUGCUAUUGUUGAUGGCGACCGGCGCACGGGUGAGUAACGCGUAUCCAACCUUCCCCUUAGUAGAGGAUAGCCCGGCGAAAGUCGGAUUAAUACUCUAUGUUGUUCGAUGCGGACAUCUAAGUUGAACCAAAGGUUUACCGCUAAGGGAUGGGGAUGCGUCUGAUUAGGUAGUAGGCGGGGUAACGGCCCACCUAGCCUACGAUCAGUAGGGGUUCUGAGAGGAAGGUCCCCCACAUUGGAACUGAGACACGGUCCAAACUCCUACGGGAGGCAGCAGUGAGGAAUAUUGGUCAAUGGCCGAGAGGCUGAACCAGCCAAGUAGCGUGCAAGGAUGACGGCCCUAUGGGUUGUAAACUGCUUUUGUAUGGGGAUAAAGUUCACUACGUGUAGUGAUUUGCAGGUACCAUAUGAAUAAGGACCGGCUAAUUCCGUGCCAGCCGCGGC
rnacentral:rRNA from 1 species